rnacentral:rRNA from 1 species
UACAGAGACUGCAAGCGUUAUUCGGAUUCACUGGGCGUAAAGGGUGCGCAGGCGGCCAAGUGUGUGAGGCGUGAAAGCCCGGGGCUUAACCCCGGAAUUGCACCUCAAACUACAUGGCUAGAGCAUUGGAGAGGGUAGCGGAAUUCACGGUGUAGCAGUGAAAUGCGUAGAUAUCGUGAGGAACACCAGAGGCGAAGGCGGCUACCUGGACAAUUGCUGACGCUCAGGCACGAAAGCCGUGGGGGAGCAAAAGGG